CCCUCUUCUCCCUCUCCAUCUGCCCCUAGCCCCACUUUCCCCCCACAAAAGCAAAACAAAACCUUUAGCCAGGGUAGGAACUUUCCGUUUUCUUUCAGGUGCAGCCAAAAGCCACUAGAAAGAUUGACGCCCAGGAGUGACAUAGAAGCUCCAGCUCACACUUGGCCCGGGACCAAGGAGCAGUGAAUGGAGGGGGACCCCUGGUGUGGACUUGGAGUUUAGAAGAUGUAAUGCUGCAUUGGGAGGCUGAUUGGAUCAUCAGGCCAAGGGCAGCCAACAGGACCUGCAGCCACAACCACCAUCCUGGUUCGCAAGAGAGGAUCACACCACGUAUCUCCAGCCAUGGAAAAGACCCGAAUUCAAAAUUCAAAACACGAUUUCUCCUGAAUGCGUAUAGCUUUCACACUACUGUGAAGCCAAGAAAUAGUAAGUUGGACCAUCAUUAAGUCCAGGACUGUCUGUGUUUGGAAAGGUAAUUGCAUUUAGCCAGAAGAUAAUCUU